GAUGAACGCUGGCGGCGUGCCUAAUACAUGCAAGUCGAGCGAACCACUUCGGUGGUGAGCGGCGAACGGGUGAGUAACACGUAGGUGAUCUGCCCAUCAGACGGGGACAACGAUUGGAAACGAUCGCUAAUACCGGAUAGGACGAAAGUUUAAAGGUGCUUCUGGCACCGCUGAUGGAUGAGCCUGCGGCGCAUUAGCUAGUUGGUAGGGUAAAGGCCUACCAAGGCGACGAUGCGUAGCCGACCUGAGAGGGUGAACGGCCACACUGGGACUGAGACACGGCCCAGACUCCUACGGGAGGCAG
rnacentral:rRNA from 1 species